UUUUAUUUUUAAAAUGUUCAAUUCUAACCUUUUAUUUUAUAAAUUUUGUUAUUAACACAUAAAAAUAUAUUUUAUUAUAAAAUUAUCUUAGUUCAUCAAUUUAUUUUGUACUUAACUCCUUCACUAUGGUGUCGUGAAUUCUCGUGAGUUCGUGUCUAAAUUCUGCCAUUACUGUCUACUAUGACAAUUGGCCCAAUUUCUCAGAUGUUUAUUUUUUAUUAUAUUGUAAAAAUAUAAAUUAUUACAAAAUAUAAAACAAUUUAUUAUAAAAACUGCUAAAAAAUAUUUUCUAGUUUACAUUUAUAUUCAAAGUAAUAUGCUAAUAUUGGUGAUCUUCAUAUAAUUAUUAAAAUAAAUAAUAACAAUAACGUAACAAUUACCGAACAAUUAUCAAACAAUUUCUCUCUCUCUCUCUCUCUCUCUCUCUCUCUCUCUCUCUCUCUCUCUCUCCCUCUCUUUCUCUCAAGUCAAUUCUAUUUAAUGCAUGCUUAUGCUACACGGUAACUAUCCUGAGAAAGAUGGUUUGCCAUUGCCUUCUGAAAAUUAACAGUUACUAAAGAUUACAAAAUGUAAUCAUAUUAAUUGAAUAUUUAAUUUAAACUGUUUCCAAAGUGUAGUAAUUAUCAUUCACAUAUCGCACGCUUGGGUGAUUAUAUUGUAAUUACAAAAACUCUCUUUUUAUGUGUGCCAUUUUAUAUUUCAAUAUAAAAACAUUUCACAAUUACGUUACGAAAGAGAAAUUCGCAGAAUUAGUUGCUUGAUUGAUUGAUGAUCACACCAACACUUUUUAUAUUAAUAUGCCAACAAUAUUUUUGCUUUAUAGACAUACUUUAACAAUUGACACCGAAUAAAUAACAGUCACGAUUGCAUAAUAAGUAGCAGUUUCAUCUUCCAUGUAUACGACAGCAUACAAAUAAACAUAUAUCUUUCUUACAACGAGACACAAAAAAAUCAACGCACAUAAACGGCAUUAAUCUAAGAGGACAUAGUUCAGUUUUUCAUAGCAUUCGUUAAGCGUGUCAACGCCGUGUAAAAUUUAUUGUGCAAAAUCAACGCAUAUAUUUAAUAAUAUUUAUAUAAAUAAUGCCGCGUAAGCGUAAAAAUGACCAUGCAUUUUAAUGCUACUGUUCAUUCAUUCAUUAUCUGAAUUUAAAAUGAUAAAUUGAUAAACAAAAAACAUGCAAGUUUCGCAAAAUAGGAAAAAGCUGUGUACGUAUAUUACAAUUUCUAAAGCGGCACACAGAUAAUAGACAUUUCUUUUUUAAUUCUGUAUUUAACGCAUAAAUGCGUCGUCUCUAUAUAUCCUUUAUUAUUUAUGCACCGUUUCUAUUCCUAACAAAGUAUAAAAAAAAAAUCCCUAUGUUGUCCAACUAUUUCAUAAUUACGAUUUACAAUCCUCAAAAAUUGCAAUGUGAAAAAGUUUUUAUUAUUUUUUAAAAAGAUCUCUGCCCUUUAUAUUAUUUAUCACUUAUUUUCUUAUGAUAACAGAUAAAUCCAAUCUAAUGUUAAGUAACUUUGAAACGUACAAUACCAUAGCGUAUUAUUUAACGUCAGCAAAAAAUGAGAUAAAUAAUACACACAUUCGAUAUUUCUUUUACAACGCUAUCAAAAUAUCUCACAAGAUUGGUGCCAUGGUUAGAGGCGCUACGAUAGUGAUAGAAAAAGAUGUUUGCGCGAGCGUCACUUUGUUUGAAAAUGUUAGAAUAUAAAUGCCUGCUAUUAAUAGACAUGCGCAAUUCUUCUUUGGGUAAUUUCAUAAACGAGUAUCAAAUAUUGAUAGUUCCAUAAUCCAUGAUUUGCUGAUAAGAUUAAACGACGUUCCAAUUAAACCGAGUGACCGUUAUCUGAUUUACGGAGGUAUGAUUGAAAUCAAAUGCUCUAAUCUGUUUAAGUUAUAUAGAAGUUAUAUAGAAUAUUAUUUAAAACAAAACUAAUAUUAUAUUAUAAAACUUUAUGCAAACUGAUUGACCGUGUAGUUUCUAAAAAAAAAAAGUUUAGAAUUUUAUAUAUAGCCUCUUAUGAAAGAUACAUCAAACGACUAUCACGUUAUGUUACUAUUCAAAAUACUUCGACGCAUCUAAAUGUUAUAUGAAUAGUUAGAACAACCUUUUUCGUAUGCUUCGUAAAAAUUUUAUUCACCAUUUAGAUUUUUUGUACACUGUAAAAAAAUUUUGUAAAAUUACAACUAUAAUAGUGGGAAAUUUUAAGAGCCAUUAUAAUAAUUGUAAAUUUUUAUGUGUAUGUAAUAUUAUUAUAAAAAACAAAAUAUAAUCAAUUACAUGGCAACAAAAAAAUUUUGUAAAAAUGUAAGAAAAAAAAGAAUACGCAAACAUUAUUCUAACGAGCCUUCUGACUUUUCACAGGCUAUUCGAUACGUCAUAAAUAAUUCAAGGAGAUAUUAAAAACAAAUCUGUGAGUGAUGAAAAAUCUUGCUUAACAUUUCAUAUGUUUUUCUUCGCGCGCAUUAGUUGUUAUGCUAAAAUCUCAUAAAUCGCAAAAGUAUAAGAAAAAAAAGAAUACACGAGCAUUGUUCUAACGAGCCUUCCGACUUUUCAUAGGAUACUCGACGCGUCAUAAAUAAAAAUUCAAGGAGAUAAAAAAAAACAAGCAAAAACCUUAUCGCGAUUUCUGGAGACAUUUACAUUUCAUACACGUAUACAUAUAAACUCGCGGUUUUUUCGCGUAAAAAGAAUCUUUCCCGACGAUAGAUAUCGAGAGGUGAUUGCUAUUUUUUCAAUUUUGAUCAGUAUUUAUCGUAAAUAAUGGGUUACGUAACCGCGCAGUAUCGCUGUAGAGUACAAGUUAUGCGUCGUAGCGGCUCGUUACGAGCACGCGAUCUUUUUUCGCGUUUCGGAGCAACGUAAGCGCGAAAUAGAUAAAUAGAACUACUAUCGAUAAAUGCUCAACGCAAUUGCGCAAUUAACAAUGAGGCAAUUGUGAGUGUCGAUUACGCGCGCGAUAUAUGCAGCACUAUUAUAUGACACGCGGCACCAUGAAAAAAGAAACGGAUCAAAACUCUGCUAACUCGUAACAGUUUCGAGGCUUUCGGAGGUUAUCGAAGACAAGAUAAAGUGGAUCAUCAUUGCUGGAAUAAAGCAUGAGACAUCUUGCGUCGUGCCUUUUCCAUGUAAACGUUUAUCUGUCGACACACAUACACACGCGCGCGCGCGCGAAUGUGUGUGUCGUUUCGGAUAAAAUUGUUUUACCUACGUAUCUAAAACAUACAGAUGAUUAUGGAUUAUUACGAGCUUGACGAGUAUGUCGAGUCGCGGCGAUCGACGUCACCGAGAUAAAAGUCUACUUGAUCAAUAAUGAUUGUUGCAUUCUUCAGAUAGACAAAAUCGUUGAAUUAUAAAUGCUAAAGUACUCGUAAGUAAGUAAGUAAGUAAAUACUCGAGGCUGACAAAAGAGAUGCCGGACUUUGCCACCGCCGUUAAAGGGCAAACAUUAUUAAUAGACUGUCGUUUCGCGAACCCAAGUUCGAACUCGAGUAAACUCGCGACUUUCCUCUUUGUACUUGAAAAUGAUCGACACGCAAGUGUCGUGUGUGCGGCAAUGGUGCACACGCAGUUUUGUGUGUGUGUGUGUGUUGCGAAAAGAUAUCAAUCGGCUGCGGAUGUUGAAAUCCUGCAACGUAUGCCAACAGGAAGAUCGGAAGAAUUAAAAACCCGGAAGUCUGCGUUUCGCAAUCGUGCUUUUCACAAUGCGCGCGUGCAAUUCGCGGGUAUUAUGACAACAAGCGUUCGCAAACAAACAAGAGUCGAGACAAUUUGUUAAAAUUAUUGUUUCUUUCGACAGCGUUGCCAGAUUUCGCGUUUUACGUCGUCGAAAACCGCCGAUUUAUCUUCAAUUUGUGAACAUAUUUUUGUCAGACUUUCUACUUGCAUACCAAAAAAGAAAGAGGGUGAAACGGAGUUGAAUUUUUGCAAGGACAUGUGAUAGGGUCAGAAUUCGUAAGAAAUCAAGACGUCAAAAAAAAAACCGUAUCUUAACGUUCCGUGUAAUGUACCAUGUAUUAUUUCGCGCGAUAAAAACGUAACAGAACGGGCGAUACAGAAAUCGGCGUGACAUCGUAAAAGAAAAAGAAAUUAUCGCAAUCACGGACGUGUCAUUCGAAGACUUCGAAUUGCCCGAUGACGACGCCGCUUGACGAAGUCGACAAUAAAAGAAACAAAACAACUCGUCAAUCACUGUUUUCGUAACGUUGUAUAAGCGUUCGCCUCACGCUGUCUUCUUACGUCUAAGGUGCAAACGCGCGAUGUAAAAGAGACGCAAUAACUAACACGUUGUAUACUUAAUAAUGUAUACAACCAACAGAAAUCAGGACAGAGAUAAAAAAAAAAACUUGAGAAACUGACAUCUUAGCUAAAACUAUUGUCGAUAAAUCCAUUCAGAACCGUCUGAGUGACAAGUAUUCAUUAAUCAUUGAUUGAAAAAUAAGAUAUAUAUUAUUUUUUCGCAUCGUGACAUUUAGAACGUUUUCCGAAAUAUCAAAAGAAAUAUUGAAUCUUUCAAUAUUUCUGAAAUAUCAGUGUUUUGCACCGCGUGAAUAUGAGAGAUGGAGACUCAUAAAUUCACCUAGCUAUUGUAUACGAUUUUAAUAAUUGUUAAAAAUUAAAAAAAAAACCCUCGUAAAAUAGCUAGAAGAUUUAUUUCCCUAAAAAAUAUUCGAAUGUAUGUUAACUAAUCUAAGCGUGUUCUUUGUCGCAAGUUCUUUAGCAUCCCAAAUGUCCUCAGUUGAUCGAUGUUAAAAAAGAUUGAUUCUGAAUAGGCUGCUGCUAAAACAUAUGCUAAAAUCAGUCGGGGACGUAUAAAUCUUGCUUAUAAAUUUUCAAGCCGUUUUUCUUCAGGCUGUACUUAUUUAAUGAAAAACUUUUUGAAAUGAUUAAAAAGUUACGUGCUGGGAAUAUAAUAAUAGCUAGGGAAUUAACGGGGACGGCGGUUACAGUAUACUCGCGGAAUAAAAGCGUGCUAUCUUGUUUUCAAGAGGAAUAAAAUAAUUCCCUUCGAUGUUAUGGAAAAAAGCCUGUAAAUGUCAUUUUACGACAAGCAAUAUUUUUUUGUAUCUUGUUUUUGUUAGAUUUUAGUACAUUCUCGCGAAGCCUUUCGGAAUAACGCGAAAAAGAUUAUUUCUAAGAUUGUUUCCGCUAUCUUCACGAAGUUUUUAUUGCAAGGUUCAAACUCUAUUUUAUAUUGAAACGCAACACCAGUCCAAAUGUCAAACACGUGCAUGUUCUUCCUACCUUUGUGGUUAAAACUUAAAUUCGCGCGAGAUCACUUGGACCACGUGACCGGAGUAAUGACGGGAAUUAGGGAUUACAUAAGUAGUUACGGAAAUGUACGGUCCGAAGAGAAACUAAUCGCCAGGAUAUAUAUGCCGUUUCCUAAGUACGCGUUAUAGCCUAGCUAUAACUGCCAUUUGCAUACAGAAGUAUUGCACGGGGAGCGCAUAGGUGAUCAUUAUAUACUGUGAAUAAUAGACGCAUUACACCAACUAGUUCACGUGAUGCAAGAAGAGAUGAAUUAAAGGUGAGGAGGAAAAAGCUGUAAGCUAAUAAUUUCCUAGCUCGCACGUGCGACACUUCUGAUGAAGGAAAUCUCUAAAUAUAAUAUAUAAAAUCUCUCUUAUAUAUUCUAUCUCUAAAUAUAAAAUGUUAUUGGCAUCAUCCUGCCCUGAGAAUGAGAAGUUUUCUUAUUUCCGAUAUUCCAACAUAGUUCGAACAGAGUUUGCGAACUAUCUGUAAAAUCAACUUUAUUUCAGACUUUACAUAUAUUUUUUUAAAAUUUGUAUAUCUACACACAGAAAAAUAUCAAUUUUGCUGCAAAAAAAGGAUUAUUUAAUUUACUUUUUACUUCCAAGUUUUUAAUCUAAGUAAUGUAAGUAUUAAUGUAAUUUAAUAUAAGUAUUAUCAAAAAAAAAUUUUUUUUUAAUAAUCUUAAAAUAUAUUUGAUUUACUAUAAUACAAAUUUUAGAAAAAAUUAUCAUAUACUUGAAGAAAAAUUCUAUUUUUUUCGACAAAUAUAAAAUUAAAUUGAAGAAAAGUCAAAAUAAAAUAUCUAAGCAAUUUUUAAUCUUAACUUAAUAUUCUUGAUUGAAGAACUACUUACUAAGAUUCAAAAUAUGUUGAUGUUCACGAUGAACUUACGAUAGAUUUGCGGAUAUAUAAACUUAUAAAUUAGUUUAAAUUAUUAAAAAAAUUCAAGUAUAUAUUUUUCUGUGUGUCCGUAGAAACUUAUUUUAAAUAUGUUACUCUUAUUUCAAAUAAACGAGGAGUAUAUUUUAAGACUAUUAUCAAGCAGAUAUUCCUUGCAAAAAUAACCACUAUUUAAAAAGAAAACUAAAAAAUGAAUAACUGUUUUUUUUCAGCACGAGAAUGAUAUUUUUCUGUAAGUGUGCGAUACAACUUGUGUAAAAUAUUGUAAAUUUGAAGAAAGACGUUCGACUUUGGUGUUCAUUCAAAGGAAUGUCAUUUUCUUUUAUUUUCUUUUCUACGUAGAAUCACUUCUUUCAUACCUCGCUGGUAUUAUUAGUAAACACACAUCUACUUGUGCCUCAAUCGCGAGAAAUAUGAGUGAUACUUGAAUGAGAAAUUCUUGUUUUUUUUUAGCAUUUACAAUAACCAGAUAACGUGAAUAAUGUGCAUACUAUUAUUUUAUCAUAUAACGAACGUGGAAAAUGGAUAAUCGUAUAAUAAAAUUCAUAAUGAGUUGCGGAAAUUCCGUAAGAUAAUUGCGUAACAAUAAUUUUCCAAUACAUUCAAUCAUCCUCUAUGUAUAUACGUGUGUUCGAUUAGUAAUAAAUCCACAAUCGAACGAUCUAAGGCCGGUAUUCAUAGUCGAGUCUUAUAUUUAAGAUUAUCUUAAGUAAAUAAUGUCUCAAGAUGCUAAUAACGGCUUUGUAAUUGGUUGAUGAUAUCUUAAGACGAUCUUAAAUAUAAAACCUAACUACACUGAGAGAAAAAAAA